AAGUAGCUCAUCUUGAGAUAGGCUAUUGCCAAGAGGAGCGCAUUGGCCCUCACCUCACUGCCACCAUCUUCUGUGAAGUCAGACUAACAGUAUGUAUGUAGCUGUCUAAAUAAUGACCUUGUUCAUCCCUGAUAUGGCUGGUCGUCUGUUUUUGCUCAUCCUCCUUUUCGAUACCUUCCAGUACAUCAAAGCCAAAGAUCUUCCUCGGCCCAGUCUAACAGUGAUUCCUGCAGUCAUCAAAGAGAGAGACUCAGUUCAGCUGAACUGUCAGACUCCUUCAUCUGUCUCUGAGUGUUACUUCAAAAUGGAAGGGCAAGUGGAAUUCACCCUACCAUCACCCUGUCAACAGACUCUCACAGGAACACUACUGGUGAGGUGGACAGGUCAGAGUUCACCAGCUGAGGUCAAAAUACAAUGUCAGUACAGUGCUACAGGUUCACAGUUUAGAUCCAUGUUCAGUGAGCCUUCAACAGUCACAAUUCAGGACCUUCCUCAGCUGACAGUGAGUUCUACAGUCAUCAGAGAGACAGAAUCAGUUCAGCUGAGUUGUGAGACUCCUCCAUCUCUCCCUGUGUCUCACUGUUACUUCUACAUAGAGGGGAGGAAGAAUCUUCCAGACUCAUUGUGUACGCAGACAAUAACAGGAACUCAGCUGCUGAAGAGGGCAGAUCAAACAUUUCCAGUUGUGGUCAAAGUGAAGUGUUACUAUGCUGUAUGGAAGUCUCACACAUCUCCGUUUAGUAACUCUGUCUCAGUCACUGUUCAGG
rnacentral:lncRNA from 1 species